rnacentral:rRNA from 1 species
AGCGAACGCUGGCGGCAGGCCUAACACAUGCAAGCCGAACGAAGUCUUCGGACUUAGUGGCGGACGGGUGAGUAACACGUGGGAACGUGCCUUUAGGUUCGGAAUAACUCAGGGAAACUUGUGCUAAUACCGAAUGUGCCCUUCGGGGGAAAGAUUUAUCGCCUUUAGAGCGGCCCGCGUCUGAUUAGCUAGUUGGUGAGGUAAAGGCUCACCAAGGCGACGAUCAGUAGCUGGUCUGAGAGGAUGAUCAGCCACAUUGGGACUGAGACACGGCCCAAACUCCUACGGGAGGCAGCAGUGGGGAAUCUUGCGCAAUGGGCGUAAGCCUGACGCAGCCAUGCCGCGUGAAUGAUGAAGGUCUUGGGAUUGUAAAAUUCUUUCACCGGGGACGAUAAUGACGGUACCCGGAGAAGAAGCCCCGGCUAACUUCGUGCCAGCCGCCGCCGUAA